AAUUUUCAGCAACGGAUCUCUCGGCUCUCGCAUCGAUGAAGAACGCAGCGAAAUGCGAUAAGUAAUGUGAAUUACAGAAUUCAGUUAAUCAUCGAAUCUUUGAACGCACCUUGCGCCCUUUGGCCAUUCCGAAGGGCAUGCCUGUUUGAGUAUCAUUAACACCACAUCUCUUCAUGGUUUUUCUGUGAUGAGCUUGGACUUUGGGGGUUUUGCUGGCCUAUGGUCGGCUCCUCUAAAAUGAAUCAGCUUGCCAGUGUUUGGUGGGCAUCACAGGUGUGAUAACUAUCUACGCUUGUGGUUUUCCACCAGGUAACCUUCAGCAAUGGAGGUUCACUGGAGCUCACAGAUGUCUCUCCUCGGUGAGGAUGACCCUUUGAAUGUUUGAUCUCAAAUCAGGUAGGACUACCCGCUGAACUUAAGCAUAUCAAUAAGCGGAGGCU
rnacentral:misc_RNA from 1 species